AGAGCGGCAUGUUUCCUUCUGAUUUUUAUUUGAUCAUUAAAUCUGAAUCGGUCUGAUCAGAUAGCAUCUAAUAGUUGUUAUCUUUUGAUUAACGGCUGAUCGACGAGCGUCGGACGCAGGAUCCGCGGAGACAGGCAGAGUAAAGACGGAGAGGUCGUGUAUCCGGUGGGAUUCUCAGAUAAACCCGUCCCGGACCCCAGCGUGCAGGAGGCUGACCGUGACCUGCUGGAGAAGAGGUGCUGGGACGUGGCGCUGGGCCCGCUGAAGCAGAUUCCCAUGAACCUCUUCAUCAUGUACAUGUCUCUC